GACGAACGCUGGCGGCGUGCUUAACACAUGCAAGUCGAACGAAGAGCGACGGAAGCUUGCUUCUAUCAAUCUUAGUGGCGAACGGGUGAGUAACGCGUAAUCAACCUGCCCUUCAGAGGGGGACAACAGUUGGAAACGACUGCUAAUACCGCAUACGAUCUAACCUCGGCAUCGAGGAUAGAUGAAAGGUGGCCUCUACAUGUAAGCUAUCACUGAAGGCGGGGAUUGCGUCUGAUUAGCUAGUUGGAGGGGUAACGGCCCACCAAGGCGAUGAUCAGUAGCCGGUCUGAGAGGAUGAACGGCCACAUUGGGACUGAGACACGGCCCAGACUCCUACGGGAGGCAGCAGUGGGGAAUCUUCCGCAAUGGACGAAAGUCUGACGGAGCAACGCCGCGUGAGUGAUGACGGCCUUCGGGUUGUAAAGCUCUGUUAAUCGGGACGAAAGGCCUUCUUGCGAAUAGUGAGAAGGAUUGACGGUACCGGAAUAGAAAGCCACGGCUAACUACGUG
rnacentral:rRNA from 1 species